rnacentral:lncRNA from 1 species
CUGCCGUCGUCCCCCUCAGCCGGUUACCCUGUUACAGCCCCAGCUCUGGGCCCUUCCGGACCCUCCUGCUACGCUCUUUCUGGGCUUCCAGUAUCGCCGGUCACUCAGUCCUCGCCCCUGCCUGCCUCGCUGGCGCCCCGCCGUUUCCUCCUCGCGGCACAGUUUGCCAAGGAACAGCUACCCCGGCUCGGCAGUGACCGGGCGCCCCGGCGACACACGUACUCUCAGGCCCGCUGGGCAGGGGGACGGCCUGGGCCGAGAUGAACUCAUCCAGUCGCCUGUACUCAGAGCCUAUCUGAAUUCCAGUGAGCCCCAAGUGUGCAUUCCCAGCCCUCGCCCCUCCCCUGAACACCAGAUCCCUGCAUUUAGCUGCCUGCCACAUCCCUACUUGGAUGUCUACGGCAUCUCAAACACAGCUCGUCCAAGAUAGCGCUCAAUAAUUCCCCAAGCCAAGCCUGUCCUCCCACAAUCUUAAUCCAUCAUAGUUGCUGGAAAUUCCAUCCUCCAGUUGCCCGAGUCUUGCAUCCUGUUUGAGUCCUGUUUUUCUCUUCCUCACCUUCAGUCUGUCAGCACUGCCUUCAAAAUGCACCCAGAAUAGAUUCACAAUUCUACCAUUUCUCUCAACCGCCACUGUCACCACCUUGGUCCAGGCCCCCAUCAUCUGAGAAGCACCAAAAGAGGCAAACUGAGAUGCAGACAAAUGAUCAUCCGUAUGCUGAUCAUUUUGAAUAGUUUUUUAAAAUAUAUUCUUUCUUUAAAAAGAGACCAAAACCUGUCAAAAAAAUACUACCGUGGAAAGCUCAUAAAUACUACAGUGUGAAGAACCCUGUGCUUAUCUUCAGUUUAUCAUCAGACAUCUUAGGGAAGUUUAAUAAAGAACACCAGGAGAAUUGAGAAUUAAAUGAAAAGGUAAAUCCUUUUAAAGACCUCAGAAGAUGGAUCUGUUUGUUUCAAUCUGCUUUUGAGGCCAGAAGGAAAUAUCAGUUGAAAAAAAGCACACCUGGAAUGCAUCACUCUUUAAUUCUCAAAUCCAUAUGAUUGCCCAAAGAAGAGAUGCUAUGGCUCAUCGAAUACUCUCAGCAAGGCUUCAUAAAAUUAAAGGACUAAAAAAUGAAUUAGCUGAUAUGCAUCAUAAAUUGGAAGCCAUCCUUACAGAAAACCAAUUUUUGAAACAACUUCAGCUUAGGCAUUUGAAAGCUAUAGGAAAAUAUGAGAAUUCACAAAAUAAUCUACCUCAAAUUAUGGCUAAACAUCAGAAUGAAGUAAAAAAUUUAAGGCAACUACUUAGGAAAUCCCAGGAAAAGGAAAGAACUCUAUCUAGGAAACUUAGAGAAACUGACAGCCAGUUACUGAAGACUAAAGAUAUCUUGCAGGCACUGCAGAAACUUUCUGAAGACAAAAACCUUGCAGAAAGGGAAGAACUCACUCAUAAAUUAUCUAUUAUCACAACAAAAAUGGACGCAAAUGACAAAAAAAUACAGGUCUGUAUUUCAGGGGCCCAGACAGUUUAAGAUUCCAAAGUUAAUAGAGAGAGGGUGUGAAUUAAUCAUGGAUGCGCCCCCUCUGUAACAAAGCAUUACUAACUGCUUCACUUGGCGUGCUGCACUAAAUAAUUAUGUUGUCUAAUAGAGGGCACAGAAAGGGAGUGGUUUGAAGGAAAAACAGAAGCAGCUCAAACUAGAAAUGUUCAUCUGUUGCAGUGCACAAGAGUUCACUCUGUGGCUGGACUGGUUUAUCUGGAAAUGACCAUUCUCUAAGAGAGCACAGCUACAGUGCUAAGGGACUUUUUCCCUGUGCUGAAAAGAUUGCAUUGUGUUACGUGAAACCUCUCUUUGAAGUCAACCCUCUACCUUAAACUGUUGAUUAAAAGGCUACUUCCCU